CACACCGCGACAGCAUUUAACUAGCGUGCGUCACCUCCCGUCCUACUGCUUCCUCUCGAGGCUCCGAGCCGCCCGUUAGUAGUGUAGACCUGCCUCCGCCUUCUCCUCGCCAACGCGCCACCGCAGUAAAGAGCGCGGAUUAAUUCCAGGGCGAGGGGGGAGACUCACCUCCAUUACGCUCCGUCCCCCUUCCCCGGCGUGCACCGUGCAGUAGGUAUCUGUGCAUUCCUGCCCUGCUGUGGUUGGCUAGGUAGGGGUGGUAACUGGUAAGAACAGCAAGAACCAACCAUGGCUGCUGAUGUUGGGCUUCGGUUCAACGGCUGGUCAUACUCGGAUUUGCCUUACAACGACCACAAUGCACAGGAUUCAUCAGUUCAGGAAAUGGUGCUCAACCAUGGCUCGGUGUCAUUCGGUAGAUUUGCUGCAGAAUCAUUGUCAUGGGAAAGAAGGUCAGUGUUUGAACAUAACAGACGCCAAGAGGAACUAAGCAAGCUCACAGCCCCUGGUUUGGUUGCACAAAAGAAGGCUUUCUUUGAAGAAUAUUACAAGAGGGCAAGACAUCUCAAGGCUCAGGGGGUAUUGCACCAGGCUGGAGCCGCAGUGGAGGAGAACGAUAGCAGCCAGGCAGAUGAAUUGCCAGCAGCUAUGUCUGAAGAUCCAGUAGCCACUGCUCCAAGUUCUAGUUUUGAGCCUUCCACUGAUGUUGAGAGCAAAUGCCAGGAUGCUCAUGAGCACGGGUACUUGACAUUUAAUCCUUUAUUUUCUCAGACAGCAAGCUUGCCAAACAUUCAGGAGGAGAGUUCUAGCUCUGGUCAAAAGCAUGGAUUCAGUUGUGAAACUAUUGAGAGAAAAGUUCUUGCACCAAGACGUGUGGCAUCAAAUGAUAAUGAUCAAAGCAAUAUUGCUGGAUCAAGGAUUGUCUUACCAAUAGUCAGUCUACAAUCAGAAUACCUCAAAGCUGAUCCUGAGAAGAGUGAGGCAAGCAAAAAUGUACCUAUUAUUAAUAGGUCAAAAAAGGUAUCAAAGGACCUGGCAACUUCUGUUAUCAGCAUCCCAAGGGUAGAUUUAAGAAGGAAUUCAGAAAACGGACCCUCUCGAGACUUGGAGGAUCCAUUCCACAAGAGAGUUGAGAUGAAAUUGCGUGCUUUAUCUGAUCGGAUGGAUGCUGACAGAACUACGGCCUCUAGUAGAUCAUCCUCUUACCAACCUCCUGAGAGAGCUAUGACCUCAGCUAGAUCUGCAUAUCAAGAUAGACUAGCAAUAUCUUCUAGAUCCAGUGUGUCUCAGAACACUAGUAAAGCCUUGGCACCUUCUAAAUUAGCUGCUCAAGCUUCCCAUAAAUUUCUUAAAGGUGUGCAGCGUUUAGAUGCCAUGCCCCGUGGUAUUUUCGUUAAUAAAGGAUCAAGUGCUUCUCUUGUUGCUUCUUGCAACAGUAGUGCAACUGGGAAGUUGUCUGCCAAGAUUUUGGUGGCACCCAGUUCGUCUCAAGUUGGUGCAAAGACUUCCAGGACUGCUCAGGUUACACCGAAAAGAGCAGCAGGACCUACCAGUGUAAACAAUGUGUCACACAAUAAAAGGAAGCACACACCGGUCGCAUUGGGUGAAAAAUACCCAAAGAGAGAGUAUGUGCGCAGAUCUGCACCUCCAAGUGCAAGAAGCAGCUCCGAGAAUCUCCCUCGUGCUGCAAAGGCGCCUAAGAUAUCAAAAGUGAUGAAUGCGGUGUCCAAGGCUGAAGCUGUGCAGAAGUCAAAAUCAUCAAGCAAUCUUGUUGGAGGAAGAAAUUUAUCGACAAAGCGCUCCGCAAACUGCAAUGAAGAAAACAGAAAGGCGAUCCCGUCGCGCAAGGUAAACAUGGCUGAAUGCACGAGGAGCAAUCUGAAAGGUGGCCCAUCACUGACUAAGAACAAGCCACGGUAGGUGAAGCCACUGACGAAUUAAUUGCUCAGCACAUCCAGCAUUAGCUUUAAGCUGCAAGAGAGGCCACGGUGGAGAUGAUUGCCAGGCGAGAGAAGCCACGAAUCCACCACGGUGAUUAUUAAAUAGUCUUGAGAAGCAUCGAUCACCUGGAGCCUCAAACGUGUACCUCUGGUUAGUUUUGCAACACGAAAUUGAGUGCCGGCCAUCAAAAGCAUACAGCACCAAGACUUGCCUUGUCUUGUAGCUGUAGCAUACAGUGGCUGGCUGUUUGUUCCCCUUGUUGUUGUAAUCCAACAACAGUCGCAAGAGAAUAUCUGGAUGUGCAAGGCA